GGAGGUAUAGCUCAGAGGUAGAGUGCUUGCUUAACAUGCAGGAGGCCCUAAGUUUGAUUCUCAGCCCUAUCA
rnacentral:tRNA from 1 species